CCACGUGAACGCUGUGAUACGUCUGACCUUCAGUCCGAAGAAGAAACCCAGACCAGUCUUAAAAGAAAGCACAAACCAAAUCCCCUGUACACAUAUACGGACUCAGAGGAUGAGUUUUUUUGUGGGGAAAGCCUACAAAAAAUACGGUUUCCCCAGGCCCCUCGAGUGAAAAUACCAGCCCUCAUCACUCCGCAGUCUGCCCCCCAGCCCACUGAUAGCAACCAUCAUAAUGCCCCACCCAGCUUCCGGCACCUUUCGCCACUCCGGCACAAACCGACACAGCUUUGCGAUCUCCCCAGCAUGCAGAGUCUGAUGUCUUCCCUAUAGAUGAUUCCAGAGACUCUGUGAAGCCACUAUUACAAGGUGAGACGCUUUGCGUUGAUUGGUGCUGCUGGACCACACUGGAGGUGCGAGUCCGCCGUGUAAUGGUUUAUGCCAUUACAAAGGAGCUGGCGUCUGUACUCAACUGGGCAGGG